AACGAACGCUGGCGGCAUGCCUAACACAUGCAAGUCGAACGAGACCUUCGGGUCUAGUGGCGCACGGGUGCGUAACGCGUGGGAAUCUGCCCUUGGGUUCGGGAUAACAGUUGGAAACGACUGCUAAUACCGGAUGAUGACUUCGGUCCAAAGAUUUAUCGCCCAGGGAUGAGCCCGCGUCGGAUUAGCUAGUUGGUGAGGUAAGAGCUCACCAAGGCGACGAUCCGUAGCUGGUCUGAGAGGAUGAUCAGCCACACUGGGACUGAGACACGGCCCAGACUCCUACGGGAGGCAGCAGUGGGGAAUAUUGGACAAUGGGCGAAAGCCUGAUCCAGCAAUGCCGCGUGAGUGAUGAAGGCCUUAGGGUUGUAAAGCCCUUUUACCCGGGAUGAUAAUGACAGUACCGGGAGAAUAAGCCCCGGCUAACUCCGUG
rnacentral:rRNA from 1 species